CCGGGUGGUCACAUUCGGCCGACCUGUCUUCCCAAACAGAUAUUGAGGAUUGAGCCGGUUAGGUUAGGCUAGGUCAGGUCCUUCGCUCUUCUCAUAACAUUGUUCGGAAACAAAGGCUGCUUGAUAAAGGAAUAUUUGGGAAGGAGAAGAAUCUCCCUCUCCAACUUUACCACAAUGAAGACGAAGUGGUUAUUUAUCGUACAAGUGAAUAUUUUCUGAAAUCUCCGAUGACAUGCCGAAGAUGUUUUUCAAUCACACACAUACACAUACACGCACGGACAUAACACGACUGUACACGAAGAUAUACACCGUUUAACCUUUGCUCGAAUUCUCGCAUUCACGCUUUUACAAGUCAAGCGCCUCGUUCUGUGUAAUUCGACACAAUGAAACAACUGGAACACUCGCUUCCCACAAAUCCAACCCCUGGGUCCUCGUCCCGGGAAGUGGAAACGCCAAUUUUAAAGAUUAAAAGACUUUAAAUUGGCGGCCGAAGGGGCUCUGGU